rnacentral:rRNA from 1 species
UACGGAAGGCAGCAGUGGGGAAUAUUGCACAAUGGGCGAAAGCCUGAUGCAGCUAUGCCGCGUGUAUGAAGAAGGCCUUAGGGUUGUAAAGUACUUUCAUCGGGGAGGAAAAAACAAAACUAAUAAUUUUAUUUCUUGACGUUACCCGAAAAAGAAGCACCGGCUAACUCCGUGCCAGCAGCCGCGGUAAUACGGAGGGUGCUAGCGUUAAUCAGAAUUACUGGGCGUAAAGGGCACGUAGGUGGUUUUUUUAAGUCAGAUGUGAAAUCCCUGGGCUUAACCUAGGAACUGCAUUUUGAAACUGAAAUACUAGAGUAUCGUAGAGGGAGGUAGAAUUCUAGGUGUAGCGGUGAAAUGCGUAGAUAUCUGGAGGAAUACCUGUGGCGAAAGCGGCCUCCUAAACGAAUACUGACACUGAGGUGCGAAAGCGUGGGGAGCAAACAGGGAUUAGAUACC